CCACCACUAUGCCUUGCUAAUUUUUGUAUUUUUAGUAGAGAUGGGGUUUUGCCAUGUUGCCCAGGCUUGUCUUGAAAUCCUCAACUCAAGUAAUCUGCUCACUUGGCCUAUAAAAGUGCUAGGAUUACAGGUGUGAGGUACCACCCUGGCCCUAAAUGGUUUUUAUUUUUGGAAGAUUAGGCCGUUUUAUAUUGGUAUGAGAUGAGCGAGGGAGACAGUGAGGGUUUUGAUGAGUAAGGUAAAGACUGAAAAUGGUCACUAAGAAACUGAUCAAAGAAAAAUACAAGGAUUUGAUAAGUGUGGAGGGUCCAACUGAGAUUGGAAUCAUACCUUAUAGAGCUAAUAAUGAUGGUCAUUCUCAGGGCGGGGAGUGGUAGAAGGCUAUGGGAGUAGUACAGAAAUAUUUAGGGGUAGGCUUAUACAGAAAUGUCAUUUAGAGAAGCACAGAUGUGAUCAAAUAACAUUAUUGCCUAAUUUUGAAACAUUUUCUAGUCUUCCUUAGCCAGAACCUAGAGAGUAGAUGACUUUCUUUUUUAUAGUUAGUUAUUAACUAAAUUUUAUAUAGUUGGAGAAAAUAGUUUGAGAGAAUCAAUGAUAGAGCUAAAGGGAAAAUCUUUGAAAUAGCUAAAAAUAAUAUCCAAAUUAAGGUAGAAAGUGACAUCAAAAGGGUGUUAUACAGAAAUUGGAAAGAGCAGAAAGUCCGAGGAUGAUGAAGAUUUUAAUGGUAAUGCUGGAAGGGUUGUCAGUUUAAGUUGGUAUUCUUGCAGAUGAGAUACUUGAAAGUUGUUAUAAUUUGUGGAAUAAAGGAAUUUUAGGGCUCGAGCUUUUAAAGAGUCAUCAAUGUGGCAUUAUGUUUGUGUAGAAUGACAGCAGAGGAAGAGAUGGCAAAAAAAAAAACCAGAUUAUUAAUCUGUUAAAACGUAGUAUGUUUUCAAGAGGUUGAUAGACCAGGGAUCAGCAAACUAUAGCCUGGGAAUCAGAUAGCAGCCUUUUUUUUUGUGGUUUUGGGGAUAAGAAUAGUUUUUAACAGAGGAAUAUUUGCAAACAUUAGUUAUAGAAUAUUGACUUUAUACCCAAAUUAAGUGAAAUGUUUUUUCCUGAAAAAGCAUUCUAUUCUUAUUAGUAGACCUGUAUUACAAAAAUUUUUACUGUUACUAUUUUUGUUUCAAAAUUUUAAAAAAUUGUGGAAAUUUGAUUUUCCUUUUUCAUGUGAGUACUUAUGUAGUAUUUUCAAUUGUUGCUUCUUGAUACACAGUCUAAAGUGUUUGCGUUCUGCCUAUAAGGCAGAAUUGAGAGGCAGGUGUAGAUUUCCGAACAGGCCAGUAACAUCUGAUGGCAGAGGAGCAAGGCUAUUGUAUCUACUGUGGAGAGAGAUGUGGUAAAUUACUGGAGUGGUGAGGAGAGGUAGCAUGCUAGGAAAAUAAUGUUUUUAUUUUUCAUUAAGGUUUCCAUAGGGCUAACUGAUGAGAAGUUAAGAUUUUUCAGGUAAAUUUUUUAUCAGAUACAACAUUCAUUCAUACAAGUACACAAAUAUAAAUGUACUGGUCAAUGAUAUAUAUAUAUUUUUCCAAAAUGAAUAGUGAAUACAUUUUUGUGACCACCACUCAGAUUAAUAAAUAAAACAUUGCAGACAUCCUUAAACUUUCCUUCUGACUUGUUAGUCACUACUCACAUCCCUUAAAGGUAAGCUCUAGUCUGAUGAUUCAUUUUGUGUGUUUUUGAUUUUUAUGUAGAUGGAAUUAAGCAUUUACCACCAUGUACUGCUUUGUAUGACUUCCUUCACUCAGCAUUGUCUGUGAGUCAUGUUUUUAGGAUAGCAGUAGUAGUUCAUUGAUUUUUUUGGUGAAAAUAGCCAAAUGUUAAACUAUUGUUAGUAUGCUGUAGUUUUCUCAUUUUAACAUUGAUAGACGUGGCUAUUACAAAUAGUGCUCCUGUAUACAUUUUUGGAAGUGCACUUUGAAUAUAUGCACCCAUUUCUUUUGGGUGCUUUGGAACAGAAUUGCUGGAUCAAAAAGUAUGUUUUGCUUUGGGAGAUAAAAAUCUUACAAAGUGAUUGUGUUGUAUUCCUGCCAGAAGAGCAUAUGUUCCAGGUAGUCUACAUCUAUACCAACACUGGUAUUGUCAGGAUUUUAAAAAUUUUUGUUGCAAUUUUUAAUCUUCACUUCCUUUGUGCUUAAUGAAGUUGAGAAUCUUUUCAUGUGUUUAUUGCCCAUUUGGUUGUCUUCUUUUGUGAAGUGCCUUUUAGUCAUUUCAAUUGGAUGAUCUGUCAUGUCUUACUCAAUUUGUAGGAGCUCUGCAUGUAAUUUGGAAGGUUCGGUUUUGCUCUCAUGGCUAAAUACUAUUUGACCACUUUCAUCUUUACUUCUUGCAGGCAGUGAAGUAUUGUGGCAUUUUCCUGGAUUUUUCUUUCCUUGCAAAAUUAAAUUCAGUACAGAAAUCUUUUCUUUUGCUGAAGCAUUUCUGUCCCUGAAUAUUGUGUAGAAUCCUUACAUGUUAGUCAGUACACUUUAGGUUUAUGUGAGUUUCUGUAUUUAUCUAUUUGCUCCCUGUACUGUAGGUUAAAUUCUGUUUCCUGGACUCUUUGCAAAGCAAAAACCUGAUGUAACAUAGUUGCCUUAAAAAAUGAGUGCAGUUUUGUUUCAGCAAUGUGGAUGGAGAAGCAUAUAAGUUUAUUCCUGAUUACCUGGUUAUGGAGAGGUGACAGCUAUAUGUGCUUUACAGAAGAGAUGGUGUUGGUUUUGUUUAUUUAUACAUAACCGUGCCUAGAAAGGGUAAGAGAUGAUUUGUAGGGACACGUAAAAAAUAAGAACGUAUAAAUCAGAAGUAGGGGUGACUGACUAUAGUAAUUCUCUUCAUUUUAAAAUUUUCAGGUAAGUAAAAUAUUUUUACACCUG